rnacentral:rRNA from 1 species
GAUGAACGCUGGCGGCGUGCCUAAUACAUGCAAGUCGAGCGAACAGAUGAGGAGCUUGCUCCUCUGACGUUAGCGGCGGACGGGUGAGUAACACGUGGAUAACCUACCUAUAAGACUGGGAUAACUUCGGGAAACCGGAGCUAAUACCGGAUAAUAUAUUGAACCGCAUGGUUCAAUAGUGAAAGACGGUUUUGCUGUCACUUAUAGAUGGAUCCGCGCCGCAUUAGCUAGUUGGUAAGGUAACGGCUUACCAAGGCAACGAUGCGUAGCCGACCUGAGAGGGUGAUCGGCCACCCUAGAACUGAACCACGGUCCAGACUCCUACGGGAGGCAGCAGUAGGGAAUCUUCCGCAAUGGGCGAAAGCCUGACGGAGCAACGCCGCGUGAGUGAUGAAGGUCUUCGGAUCGUAAAACUCUGUUAUUAGGGAAGAACAAAUGUGUAAGUAACUAUGCACGUCUUGACGGUACCUAAUCAGAAAGCCACGGCUAACUACGUG